rnacentral:lncRNA from 1 species
GGAAAGGCUUGUGCAAGACCUGAAGAUGAGGAGACAGAAACCGACAUCCCUCCCUUGGGUUUACUUGGUGAGAGACUCAAUCGUCCACUAAUACGACCACUCACAAUAGAACCGCAAUCUCGAGAUGCUGGAACUCGAUCUCCACCUGUUGUGAUCCUGCCAUCUCGUGAAGCCGACACUCACACUCGAUCUCCACCUGUUGUGAUUCCACCGCCACGGCCAAAACAGAACGGCGAUGUUCCGCAUCAUGUGGCAAUUCCACCACCACCUGCAAAGCAUGUUGAGAGGGAGAAGUUUUUUCAGGAAAACAAGGAUGGGUCUAAUUUGUCUGGCCACAUUAGAG